rnacentral:rRNA from 1 species
AUUGAACGCUGGCGGCAUGCCUUACACAUGCAAGUCGAACGGCAGCGCGGGAGCAAUCCUGGCGGCGAGUGGCGAACGGGUGAGUAAUAUAUCGGAACGUGCCCAGUAGUGGGGGAUAGCCCGGCGAAAGCCGGAUUAAUACCGCAUACGACCUACGGGUGAAAGGGGGGGAUCGCAAGACCUCUCGCUAUUGGAGCGGCCGAUAUCAGAUUAGGUAGUUGGUGGGGUAAAGGCCUACCAAGCCUGCGAUCUGUAGUUGGUCUGAGAGGACGACCAGCCACGCUGGGACUGAGACACGGCCCAGACUCCUACGGGAGGCAGCAGUGGGGAAUUUUGGACAAUGGGCGCAAGCCUGAUCCAGCAAUGCCGCGUGCAGGAAGAAGGCCUUCGGGUUGUAAACUGCUUUUGUCAGGGAAGAAAUCCUCUAGGCUAAUUCCUUGGGGGGAUGACGGUACCUGAAGAAUAAGCACCGGCUAACUACGUGCCAGCCGCCGCCGUAAUAC